rnacentral:rRNA from 1 species
GGGAAUUCCUGGUGUACGCGCUGGAAUGCGCAGAUAUCAGGAGGAACACCGAUCGCGAAGGCAGGUCUCUGGGCCAUUACUGACGCUGAGAAGCGAAAGCGUGCGGGAGCGAACAGGAUUAGAUACCCUCGUAGUCCACGCCGUAAACGUCUGCGCGCUAGGUGUGGGUCCCAUUCCACGGGGUCCGUGCCGCAGCUAACGCAUUAAGCGCCCCGCCUGGGGAGUACGGCCGCAAGGCUAAAACUCAAAGGAAUUGACGGGGGCCCGCACAAGCGGCGGAGCAUGCGGAUUAAUUCGAUGCAACGCGAAGAACCUUACCAAGGCUUGACAUACACCGGACGACUGCAGAGAUGUGGUUUCCCUUUGUGGCUGGUGUACAGGUGGUGCAUGGUUGUCGUCAGCUCGUGUCGUGAGAUGUUGGGUUAAGUCCCGCAACGAGCGCAACCCUCGUUCCAUGUUGCCAGCAACACCUUUUGGGUGGUUGGGGACUCAUGGGAGACUGCCGGGGUCAACUCGGAGGAAGGUGGGGAUGACGUCAAAUCAUCAUGCCCCUUACGUCUUGGGCUUCACGCAUGCUACAAUGGCCGGUACAAAGGGCUGCGAUCCCGUGAGGGGGAGCGAAUCCCAGAAAGCCGGUCUCAGUUCGGAUUGGGGUCUGCAACUCGACCCCAUGAAGUCGGAGUCGCUAGUAAUCGCAGAUCAGCAACGCUGCGGUGAAUACGUUCCCGGGCCUUGUACACACCGCCCGUCAAGUCACGAAAGUCGGUAACACCCGAAGCCGGUGGCCCAACCCUUGUGGAGGGAGCUGUCGAAGGUGAUCUUAAGUUU